CCCUUAGAUGUUCUGGGCUGCACGCGCGCUACACUGAAGCUAUCAACACGUUUUCCCUCCCUGAGAAGGGCGGGUAACCUUUUGAAUCAGCUUCGUGGUAGGGAUCGGGGCUUGCAAUUGUUCCCCGUGAACCAGGAAUUCCUAGUAGACGCGAGUCAUAAGCUCGCAUCGAUUAAGUCCCUUCCCUUUGUACACACCGCCCGUCGCUACUACCGAUUGAACGUUUUAGUGAGGCAUUUGGACCGACGCAUCUCAGUUUAACCGCUGGUUUGUGUUGGAAAGACUUCCAAACUUGAGCGUUUAGAGGAAGUAAAAGUCGUAACA
rnacentral:rRNA from 1 species